ensembl:lncRNA
CGUUCCUCCCACUCUCCUGUGGUGUGUAAGCUGUUUGUCUGCUGAUAAAAGGCCUCUCGUCAACUAAGAGAUAAACUCUGCAUGCUGCUGUAGAGACAGCUACCACAACAUGCUGAGUGAAACACAUAUGCCCAGCAGGUGUCGUGUGCUGUUGUGAGUGUGAGUUUCACAAAUUUGGCCUAGCGGAGCAUCACUGCAUGCAAGCACAUGACAGCGCCCAGCUGCAGGGGAGACCCAAAGGACAACAGUAUAAAGUGGUGCAUUUGAAAGCAGAGCUCUUUUCACUGCAGCGUCUCGCUUUGCAAACAUGACACCAGAGGCUCGGGACAGAUGCUGCUCCCUCCAGAACUCCGCGCUCAUCAUUUUAGCCAAGUAGCUGUGACCUGGCGCCGACGCCACAAAACAGGACAAGUAAUUUAAUUUGCCACUGCUGCUGACCUUGAAGCAUUGAAUGUAGGCCGACAGAAUCCCAAUAGGAAAUCUGGAAGAAAAACAUCCUGGGAGCUGAAAUAGCGAUCAGGCUGUUCCGCCUGCAGCAUCACACACAGUCUCGUCACCUCUACAGGGAAACUUUUGUCCUUCAGCUUUGCAUGAAGAAUGUUAAUUUACAGGCCUCCGUCUCUCUCGCCUCCAGUCACGGCCAAUCCAGUAGUGAGCAAGAGCCGGCCUCUGGAGAAAGGGUGAUGAUCCCGACUGAGCUUUUCAUUUAACAAGGAGCUGCAAGGAUUUCCAGAGAACUGCACUGUGGAGGUCCUUAGUGUAGUCAGGAAUGCUGCAAUGCCACUUGCAGACUGCAGAGUCCAGGGAGCCCUAAAAAGGAAGGAGUCUCUCUCUGAUUCCCGGCAGCUUGGCGAGCAGCGGAGGCUAAAUUAGGCCUGGUUUCAUUGACUUUCAAUCCCCAGGGUGGCUGCCGCCCUGCAGCCCAGAGGAUGAGAGAUGGGGGGCCUCGGAUGCUUCGUCGGAGCUUCUCCAGACACUGACUGGGAAGGUUGGAGUGUCAGAUGGAGGGACGAUACGGCUCGGAUUGAGAUCGGUUGCAUCUUCUGUUAACAUUCUAAGUUAACGGAAAAGAAACACGGAUAACAUGGAAGGUUCUGUGAUGUUUUUCAUUUUGAAACCAAAAAUCAUAAACUUGAGUUAUAACAUAUUGUGUUGCUUGUGUACAAUAAGUACAAUAAGUAUAUGUGUUUUGGGAUAAAAUCUGCUAUGUUACUGCUCCUCCGUGCACAUCCACAGAGACAGGUGAAGAAAACAGUCAGCUUUGAGGAGCUCGAAAAGGUUAGUUGUCCUCGAGUAGAAGCCUGUAUUUGAGUGUGUAUUUUAUUUUAUUCCUCGUACACUGUUGUCUUGUCGUCCAUUGUCGUACUGUCUGCUGUUAUGCACCAACCGCCAAGUCAAAUUCCUUGUAUGUCUGACAUAUUAUGGCAAUAAAUGUUUCCUGAUUCCUGAAAGACACCACACGUGUCCAUGUCAGCUUGUGUCUGUAAGGGUUGCAGGGGGAGAGAAUGAUUCUUUUGAAUCAUCUUAUGAUAUAUAUAUAUAUAUAUAUAUAUAUCCAACCCCCUGGGAUUGGAACCUCUGCUUGAGGUUAUAAUACAUUUCAUAGUGACUAAAUAGUGCACAUUCUAAAGGACAUUUUCAUAUUAUAUAUCAAAUUAUCUAAUGC